UGACGCUGGCGGCAGGCCUAACACAUGCAAGUCGAGCGGUAGAGAGAAGCUUGCUUCUCUUGAGAGCGGCGGACGGGUGAGUAAUGCCUAGGAAUCUGCCUGGUAGUGGGGAUAACGUCCGGAAACGGACGCUAAUACCGCAUACGUCCUACGGGAGAAAGCAGGGGACCUUCGGGCCUUGCGCUAUCAGAUGAGCCUAGGUCGGAUUAGCUAGUUGGUGGGGUAAUGGCUCACCAAGGCGACGAUCCGUAACUGGUCUGAGAGGAUGAUCAGUCACACUGGAACUGAGACACGGUCCAGACUCCUACGGGAGGCAGCAGUGGGGAAUAUUGGACAAUGGGCGAAAGCCUGAUCCAGCCAUGCCGCGUGUGUGAAGAAGGUCUUCGGAUUGUAAAGCACUUUAAGUUGGGAGGAAGGGCAGUAAAUUAAUACUUUGCUGUUUUGACGUUACCGACAGAAUAAGCACCGGCUAACUCUGUGCCAGCAGCCGCGGUAAU
rnacentral:rRNA from 1 species